GUGCUCACUUCAGCAGCGUGUAUACUAAAAUUGGAACAAUCCAGGGAAGAGUGGCUUGACCCCUGUACAAGGAUGACAAGCAGAUUCAUGAGGCAUUCCAUAAUUUUA
ensembl:snRNA Gm25482 U6 spliceosomal RNA